GACGAACGCUGGCGGCGUGCCUAAUACAUGCAAGUUGAGCGCUGAAGGUUGGUACUUGUACCGACUGGAUGAGCAGCGAACGGGUGAGUAACGCGUGGGGAAUCUGCCUUUGAGCGGGGGACAACAUUUGGAAACGAAUGCUAAUACCGCAUAAAAACUUUAAACACAAGUUUUAAGUUUGAAAGAUGCAAUUGCAUCACUCAAAGAUGAUCCCGCGUUGUAUUAGCUAGUUGGUGAGGUAAAGGCUCACCAAGGCGAUGAUACAUAGCCGACCUGAGAGGGUGAUCUGCCACAUUGGGACGGAGACACGGCCCAAACUCCUACGGGAGGCAGCAGUAGGGAAUCUUCGGCAAUGGAAGAAAGUCUGACCGAGCAACGCCGCGUGAGUGAAGAAUGUUUUCGGAUCGUAAAACUCUGUUGGUAGAGAAGAACGUUGGUGAGAGUGGAAAGCUCAUAAAGUGACGGUAACUACCCAGAAAGGGACGGCUAACUACGUG
rnacentral:rRNA from 1 species